CCCCUGCUGGGGAUUGAGCCCACAACCCUGGCAUGUGCCCUGACAAGUCAGGACCAGGUCAAAGGUCAACCACUGAGCCACAUCAGUUGGUCAGUGCCCUUUCCUAAAGAAGGAAAAGGGCAGGAAUCUGGCCUUGAACCCCACUGCCCGCUAAUUUGGUAGACGUGAUUUUAAAUCGGCAUUUUGCAGAACAGAAUUAAGUUGCUUAGGCUGUCAUUUGAAUUUGAUAGCAUCUCCAUAGUGAUACCUAACGCCUAUUUGCCCUAUGCCUGACACUUCAAAGCACUUCAUUUAGUCUUUCCAACAACCCUGCGACACCUUUAUCAUCCCCAUUUUAUAAAUGAGCACUGGCACACAAGUUGUGUAAUACUUAUCCAUUAGAAUUGGCAUAUGUUUUUAGGGAGUUGAGAUUGAAUAUACUCCAAGUAAAUACUUCAGCAAAAGGUGAUAGCUUAGGUUUCUCAGAUCAUUUGAGAUCCAUCAAGUCUUCCAUUUGUCUUCCAUUUGAAUUGUUAAGCAGCCAGAACAAUACAAUUAUUUUGGGUAAUGUUUAAUCAUAAAUAUUUUUAACGGGUAUAAUUGAAAAGCAUUGGAUUCUGAAGUAGAGUAACAUUUCUUCAUGGACUGAUGCUGACAAAUAUUGCAUAGACCUGUUUGGUCAUCUAUGUGUGAUAAGAAUCUAAAAAUGGAUUCUUUAACACUCAAUGCCUUUAAAAUUUUAAUUCAGUUAAUUGCUUUGUAAACUAAUUUUUCCUUGGUUUGAGAUGUCAUCUUUAAGUAAUAGCUGUGGAGAAAAAGACUCCAUUUGCAUGUCAGGGCUCUUAUGACACAAAGUUCUGUAGAGCAACUUGACAACCCAGGCUGUAAUGUGAGGACUAUCAAGUUUCAACAGAAUAAGUGGGUUAACUUAGAAACUUGAGAAAACUAAAGCAUUGAAGUCACAUACUUUUCAAAGAAUUCUUCAUGUAUUAAAUGGUUUAACCUUU